rnacentral:rRNA from 1 species
UACAGAGGGGGCAAGCGUUGUUCGGAAUUACUGGGCGUAAAGGGCGCGUAGGCGGCCUUCUAAGUCGAACGUGAAAUCCCCGGGCUCAACCCGGGAACUGCGUCCGAUACUGGAAGGCUUGAAUCCGGGAGAGGGAUGCGGAAUUCCAGGUGUAGCGGUGAAAUGCGUAGAUAUCUGGAGGAACACCGGUGGCGAAGGCGGCAUCCUGGACCAUUACUGACACUGAAAAUCGAAAGCCAGGGGAGCAAACGGG